UGUCCAAAAAGCAGAGGCAAACAUGGCAGGCACUUUCUUCGCCUUUCCCUUCGGUUGGGAGGUGGAUUCCGGCGCGCUGGUGCCCUCAGAAGGCCGCAGACAAGACUGGAGGCUGACCAGCAGUGGAGUGGGACUCAACUAUAGCCCACCAUUGCCCUUCCCACCGCCCUAUGCACGAUCUACAAUCCAGGAACCGUUGCCACCUGCCUCCCAGAAAGUGUGGCGGGAUGAAGUCAUUCCCCGGCUGGCAACCACUUCACAGCUUGCCCAUGACACGAAAACUCAUGGUGGAGUGCUAGCUCAGCCUCGCUACUCUGUCUCUGCCCCAUACCUGAACGUCCACUACAAUAAAGAUCUGAGAGAGAAGAUGAAGCUUAGGGCAUGGAGGUUCCCCCUGACUAUGGGCAACCAGAAGAGUGAGAUCCAAGCAAAUUUUCGUGGCUGGCCCAAUCUGCCGCAGGAGCCCACCUUUCAUGCUGGGCCUCAGCCAUUCGGGUUGGCAGCGCAUCAUGCAGAUGGAGCAUCCAAGUCGGUGGUGGCCACCACACGGAACAAUGACCUCACUGGAAGACCCUUCUACAUCUGUGACAAGGCAGUUCUACGGCUCAACGAACCCUACUUAUCGACCACUGCCCAGGACUUCCGGGCCUUCACACAGAAAGAACUUCAAGGGUAUGCUCGGAAGGAAAUUCUCAGUGUGGAUCCUUACCCUCUAAUCCGUGUACCUGGGCCUAUGAGGGAUGCCCAGAUGUUUCCAAAGGCUACCCGGGUGCCCCACCUGGUACUGAACCCAGCUGUACCUCACCAUGGUUUAUUCAGCCUGGCCCAAGAAUCCUACCAACUUCCCCAUGACUACAAGCGAACCUGGGAUCGCUUCUGCCCUGUGCAGCAGCCACCCACUGUUUCCUGUCGGGUGCCUGUGGUGGAAAUCAUGUGUGUGCCACGCAUGUAUGAGACAGAAUAUAAGUGCUAUGGAAGUGGUAAACCUACGCCAAUGUGAGAUGGGCAGGGAUUCACAUUCACUUUUCCCCCUCUCCUACUCCAGCCAGAAAGGAGAAAAAAACAAAACGCUUCACCAUGUUUACCUUUGUGAUAAUUUUCUUGAAAUAACUACAACAAACGCUUUAGAUGCAUUCAGGAAACUGUUUUGUGUCAUCCUUUGCCAUGUGGUCUCAACAUUUUAGCUUCAGGAAGCUAUGAGCAAAACAAGCAUGAAAGUUGCAAGGCUUACACACUCACCUGGAAGAAUAUUAGGCCCAUAGAACUGAGCAAACCUGUACAGGAUUAAUCUGCAAGAAUAGAUUCAAGUAGUGCAUUAUAUAAAGGAAAGACAAUUGAAAAAAGUGUCCCCAGAGGGGACUUCAGGGUGAAAUAAAUUAAUCUGUCCUUCUUGUCUUCUUUAAAGUACUUUAAUCUCACUCUAUAUAUAACAACACUAGAACUACAAUGACACCGAAUACAAAAACAAAAAGUCAUAAGGGAAUAACAAACAAACAAACAAAAAGGACUAAUGCUUGCAAGGUGUGGCUAAUUUUUAAGGAUGGAUGGCCACAGUCAUUUGUUCCAGUUACCCACAAACAAGGCCCCCAGCAUCUUAGCUCCUUGCUGCAUGGUUCACUGGUCCCUCAAGCACAGGUCCUUGCAGAGUCAGCAGCCAGGUUUUCGCUACAUCGUGCCUGCUUCAGGCUCCAUCUUUUAUAGCCUGGACGAUGCAAUGUUGAGAAACACUGUACUGGAGUUUGCUUAUUGUGGCGUAGCAUGUUAUGUAAAAUCCCCCAACCUGUGGUUUAUUUAAACCACAUUUAAGCAAACAAGGACUUAGUGCAGUUAUUUGAACCCAACCUGAAUGUGAAAGAUAGACAAAUAUUAUUUUCAUGUUUAUAUUCCAUCCUUCCUGGUUUAUAUGAGAUUUUCCUAUUUUGUCCUCAAUAUCACCUGGGGAAUUGGUUAGGCAGAGAGACAGUGACUUGGGCUGCUUGAGUAACAGUGGCAUGUCUGAAGAAACAGGCAUAGGAUUGUACUGUUCUCCUAGGCAGAUGUUCUCCUAGCCAGAUCUCAGUGCUACUCAGGGUUCUCAGCAGGAGUGGGGAACCCAUGAUAUUUACCUUCAGCCCAUGGUCAAUGGUGAGGAAUGAUGGGACCCAAUAACAUCUGGAAGGCCAACCAGGUUUCCUACUCUGGGAUCAGAAUUUUGGAUUGAGAAUGAGCAGUUGCAGAUUCAGUUACGUUGCUAAACCCUGAUGGUCACAGGGUGACUAUCCUCCCCCAGGCAAUACACUUUAUAGGAUUGUGGUGUGGAUAAAGUGUGAGAGACAGAAGCAGUACUUAUGCUGUGAACUUCUGGGAUAUUACUGUAAUCACAUAAAUAAACAGGCUGCUGCAUCAUCUUUGUUUCUUGACUGCAUACUUUUAAAAAAGAUAAUUGCAAUAGUGACAAGUGAUGAGUCAGAAGUUCUAUUAAAAAUAUCCACAGUGAGCUGCCCUUGCUUAACGCUCUUGUAUAGCUUGGUUCUAACCAUUUCCUGGCACAAAGUGGCAUAUUGGCUGUAUGUGCUUUGGAAACACCUUUGAAAAGAAAAAGGAGUAUUGCAGGCCUCAAGUGCAAUUUUUAAAAAUGUGGCUUAACCAAGUCAGCCAGUUCACUGUUGCCUUCCAAGCAUACCGUUGUGAAUGUAACUCUUUAUCUUUCAUUAAACCUAAAGUCAGUGUAUUAAAGACCAGGAGUGGCCAGUGAAUAGCAUAAAACAUAAAGCUCGUCCAGUGAAAAAUAAACUUUCAGUUUUACUUAAUUGGUAUCCUGGCAUUAUGGACUUAGUUUGGCCCUGGUAUUAGAAUGCCUCACAGUUGAUUUUGGUGACGUGACAAGUUGGCAAAUUAUUAGUAUGUUGCAAUAUUUUUUUACUGAUGGGAGAGAGAACACAGGUUGUGGGAUUUUCUGCCUAAAGGGCCAGCAUAGCUUGGGUAGCCUUGGGGAUUAUGGAUCUUGAGUAUUUGUGGUGGUGGUAGGUGCAGCUUCAAAUGGCCUAAUCAACCCCCCCCCCCCCAGAUUACCUUUCAGGGUGACUGAUCCACAUGGUAACCUUAUCAUGGUUUUGUUCUUCAUG